GAUGAACGCUGGCGGCGUGCCUAAUACAUGCAAGUCGAGCGAACGGACGAGAAGCUUGCUUCUCUGAUGUUAGCGGCGGACGGGUGAGUAACACGUGGAUAACCUACCUAUAAGACUGGGAUAACUUCGGGAAACCGGAGCUAAUACCGGAUAAUAUUUUGAACCGCAUGGUUCAAAAGUGAAAGACGGUCUUGCUGUCACUUAUAGAUGGAUCCGCGCUGCAUUAGCUAGUUGGUAAGGUAACGGCUUACCAAGGCAACGAUGCAUAGCCGACCUGAGAGGGUGAUCGGCCACACUGGAACGGAGACACGGUCCAGACUCCUACGGGAGGCAGCAGUAGGGAAUCUUCCGCAAUGGGCGAAAGCCUGACGGAGCAACGCCGCGUGAGUGAUGAAGGUCUUCGGAUCGUAAAACUCUGUUAUUAGGGAAGAACAGAUGUGUAAGUAACUGUGCACAUCUUGACGGUACCUAAUCAGAAAGCCACGGCUAACUACGUG
rnacentral:rRNA from 1 species